CGUGGGGAGGUGGCGGUGGGACCGGGACCGGCCUCUCCCGGCGGGGCCAGCGAGAAGCCCUGCGUCCCUCGGGCGCAGAAAACCGGUGCUGGUGGAUGCGGCUCCACAGCUGCGCCUUCCCCCGCCAUGUUUUGGCGAGGCUCCUUCAGGGCCAGUGCCGCUUCCCGCCGGCCCCGGCGCUGAGCGGCUGCGGCGGGAGCAGCCGAGCGAGUCUGGCAGUGGACCAAAAAAAAUGAAGUGACCAGGAUGGUGUGACUUCAGAAAUGAAGAGUGAUCCUUCAGGAAAAGGCUGCCCAAGCAAGCUUCAGCCACCUUGCUAACUAGAAGCCCUGAGCCGAGGCAGACCAGAGGAGCCCAGCCCAGGUGAGCUGCCCUGCUGGGAGCUGCCAGUCCUGCCCAGGUGAGCUGUAGUGCCAGGAGGUGCCAGCCCUGCCCCAGCUCGUGUUGCAGGCGUGGCUGCAGUGCCACGUCUGUGUCAUUCGGUGGCAGACAGCAACAGGCGAGGUCUUCCCUGGUGCUCGGAGCCCUGUGAGCUCUCAGGAUUGCUCAACAACCUGACACUUGCUGUUCCUUUCCUGCUCCCCUGCCUUUCAUGGGGAAUGGUGGAGGAUGGACACUGUCCUUCAGUCCGUCCCUGUAUCCAAAUGGUGCUGUGUGUCACUGUCCCUUCUCAAAGGACACCAAGAGCAGCUCUGGGCACACAGAGAUUGUGACCCUGAGUUUUGCAGUGAGUGACUCUGGCACUGCUAAAUGGGAAACCUCAUUAAAUGGCCAUUACAGGGCCAGAGGGACCUCAGUGGUGCAAAAUGAGCCCUUUAAUUGGCAAAAGUCACUGGCUUUGGAGAAGAAUGUUAAUGAGGUUGUGGGGAUGUGGUUAUGCUUGAGGAUGUGGCUCUUUUAUUUAAAUUUCUUGACUUCUUUUAACCUGCAAUCCGUGUUUGGGGUUUUUCAUCAGGCUUUCCUCACUCCAGGGGUCCUGCGUGGGCACUGAGUGCUAAUGAGUGUCUCUUUAGAGCUCCCUGUGUGAGGCACAGCAGAACCAUGAACAUUUUCCUGAUGGCAUUUACUGGAAUUGCCCUUCCCCAGGCAGCACUCCUGGGCCAUGGAUAUUGCUUUAUUGAAGGAAAAACUGGCUCUGAGCUGUGGAAAACGUGAAUGUUUUACAUGAAAGUGGUUUAGAGAGGAAUUAAAAAUCUCUCAGCACAUAGCACAGCCCUUCAUCAUCAAGGACUGGUUUAUGUCAUGGCUUUAAAGGCUGGAAUAAGCUCAGAUUUUUUUUCCCUGCACUAUUAAUAGCUUGGCUCUGCACCAAGGUUGGCAAACUCACCUUGGAUUUUUAGGGAGUGAUGGAAUAACCCGGAGCAGGCUCCAGCUAUCCUGCUCUUAAAUUAUAGAUAUUUUUCCAAAACCCUUCUGAUGUCAUGCCAAAGAGCUUCUCCUAAAUUUGUGCCAUGUCCUUCUGGACUGAAGGAAAUCCCUGUCUCAAAGUUUCCUUGUGAACCCUAAUAACAGAGCCUUAAAAUAUGUUUUCAUUUUAUAUUUUAUCUUUAUUUCCUUCUGGGAUGUGGAAACUCUUGGGACAGACCCCAGACAAUGAGGGCAGCAGAGUUUGUAUGGCGAGGGUUAAUUAGCUCAUUAGUAUUGACUUUAUUGCUCCCUUUUCUUGCCUGUUUUUCAACUUUUCUGACAUACUGGGCCUUAUU